rnacentral:rRNA from 1 species
UACGAACUGUGCAAACGUUAUUCGGAAUCACUGGGCUUACAGGGUGCGUAGGCGGCCAGACAAGUAGGGUGUGAAAGCCCCCGGCUUAACCGGGGAAUGGCGCCCUAAACUGUAUGGCUGGAGUGAGAUAGGGGUGUGCGGAACUUCCGGUGGAGCGGUGAAAUGUGUUGAUAUCGGAAGGAACGCCGGUGGCGAAGGCGGCAUCCUGGACCAAUACUGACGCUGAGGAGCGAAAGCCAGGGGAGCAAACGGG